GACGAACCGUGCGAACGUUGUUCGGAAUCACUGGGCUUAAAGGGCGCGUAGGCGGCCACCGCAAGUCAGUUGUGAAAUCUCUGGGCUUAACCCAGAAAGGUCAACUGAUACUGCGGGGCUAGAGUGCAGAAGGGGCAACUGGAAUUCUCGGUGUAGCGGUGAAAUGCGUAGAUAUCGAGAGGAACACCUGCGGCGAAGGCGGGUUGCUGGGCUGACACUGACGCUGAUGCGCGAAAGCUAGGGGAGCGAACGGG
rnacentral:rRNA from 1 species